AUGGAACCUGAAGAAGAAUCCCUGAGCAGAGAAAGUGGACAGCAGAGGCAAGGUCAUCACCAAAGACGAUGGCAGAGUGGACAGUGCACUCCCGGGCCACAGCAGAGAGCUGGACUGGAAGAGGAGCAACUGGGACAGAAUCCGGAACCCCGACCGGGACUAGAACCUGGUAUGUGCCAACGCCGCGGAGGAUUAGCCUAAAAGAUUUUGUUUAUUUAUUUGAGAGUCAGAGCUAUAGAGAGAGAGAAGGAGAGUAAGAGAGAAAGGCCCUCAACCAUUGGCUCACUCCCCAAAUGGCCAUAAUGGCCAGAGCUGAGCCUAUCUGAAGCCAAGAGCCUGGAGCUUCUUCCGGGUCUCCCACAUGGGUGCAACCUCCCAAGUACUUGGGCCAUCUUCUACUGCUUUCCCAGGCCCAUAAGCAGAGAGCUGGACUGGAAGAGGAGCAGCCAGGACCAUGAACUUGUGCCCCUAUGGGAAUCAGUUGCCACAGGCAGGGGCUUAGCCUACUAUGUCACAGCACCGGCCCCUAAUUGUAGUUUUGAUUUGCAUUUUCUGAUGGAUAUUGAUGCUGAGAAUUUUAAAUAUAUUUGUUGGCUAUUUGUAUUUCUUCUUUUGAGUACUGUCUGUUGCAGUCCUUUGCCCACUUCUCAACUGAAUUUAUUUUUUUUGUUGUUGUUGUUGAGUUUUUAAGUUGCUGAUAUAUUCGAAUAUUAAUCCUUUAUCAGAUAGGUGGUUUGAAAAUAUGUUCCCCCAUUAUGUUGGAUGUCUCUUUUCUCUUUGAUGUGCAGAAGUUUCUGAGGUUGAUAUAUUCCCAUUUGUUUAGUUUUGCUUUUGUUGCCUGUUCUUUUUUGGGGGUCUUUUCAAGAAGUUGUUUCCUGCACCAAUGUCUUGGAGCAUUUCCCCUACAUUUUUUUUCCAGCAACUUCAUAGUCUCAGGUCUAUCUUGAGAUGAUUUUUGUAUAUGGUGAGAGAUAUGGAUCUAAUUUCAUUCUUCUGCAUAUAUUCAUCCAGUUUUGCCAACACCAUUUGUUGAAGAGAUUAUCAUUACUCCACUCUAUGGUCUGAGCACUUUUGUCAAAAAUCAGUUGGUCGAUCAAAGAAGGAGGUACCUUUCUCUGAAGGGAGGAGAGAACUUCCACUUUGCUUGUGGACCUGCCUAAAUACUGAUGAAUUUUGUGUACUCCAUCAUGUCAGGUGAUCACUGACAUCAUAAAUAAGAGUGUCAAUUGUUAAAUCAACAACAGGCAUCCCUGUGCACUUGUUCCCCAAGCAAGACCUCUGUCCUUAAUGAGCUGUACAAUGAGAAUUAAUGGUAAAACUUGUCUUCAAACAGUACUUUAUACUUUGUGUGUCUGUGUGGGUGCAAACUGUUGAAAUCUUAGUAUAGAGUUAGUCUUCUGUAUAUAUAUAUAAUAUAUAUAUAUAUAUAAUCAAAAAGGAAUCUUAACAAAGAAUGGAAUGGGAGAAGGAGUAGGAGGUGGGAUCGGAGUGGGGGUGGGAAGGUGGGUAUGGAGAGAAGAAUUGCAUAUUCUCAAAGCUGUACCUAUUAAAUUUAUAUUUAUUAAAUAAAAGCUUUCUAAAAACAAUCA
rnacentral:lncRNA from 1 species